ensembl:lncRNA
AAGGAUAGUCUUUCCCCGUGAUGUUACUCCCUUGUAUCACUGCUGGGGUUGUCAGCCAAUCGUGGCUUUCCAGCCAAUUAUAAAAGAACCUGAGCACCUGUGGUGGUGUUGUGGUGUCUUCGGUAGCGGUACCCCCUCCUGUGUGACAUGUGAACCCUGGGUUUUUUGUUAGUCCUUCAUGUGUGUGUGUGAUUGUCUAUUCACCUGGUGACCUCCCCCUGGGAUCUACUCCUCCCUUGCUGACACACUUCCACCUGACCCCGUCUCAUCCUGGAAAGAGUCACAACUGUUGUUGUCCUUGCAGCCUGGACCCAGAACACAUCAGUUUGAGCCUCGAG